rnacentral:rRNA from 1 species
AUGGAUGGAGUUUUGUCCCUGCAUGAAAUUCUUAACUACACUUAUGUUAAGAAAAAAGUGGGGAUUGUCCUUCAAUUGGACUUUGAAAAAGCAUAUGAUAAGGUGAAUUGGGACUUCCUCCUAGAAUGCCACAAGAUGCGGGGCUUUAACGAUACCUGGUGCAGAUGGAUCAAACAGAUACUGCAUAAUGGGACAGUUAGCAUCAAGCUUAAUGGUAGUGUUGGGCCAUAUUUUCAAAGCAAAAAAGGGGUAAGACAGGGAGACCCACAUUCUCCUUUCCUAUUCAAUCUAGCUGUUGAAUGCCUUACCAAAAUGAUCAAAAAUGCCCAAAAAACAAACUUAUUAGGGGUCUGGCUGCUGACCUUAUUCCUGAUGGGGUGGCGGUCCUACAAUAUGCGGAUGAUACUAUCAUUUGCAUUGAAGAUGAUGUUGAUAAGGCAGUCAACCUGA